CCGGCCUCUUCUGCUGUUUCCGUCUUCCUACGCCUCUGCUACUUCUGCUAGUGGUGGUGCAGCUCCCGAACUUUGUCCAGACGGCCACAAUCUUCUUCUUCUUCGUCCAGGCGACCCCGGCUGUGCUGCUGUUGAAGUUGUUGCUCCAACCGGAUCUUCUUGGAUAGUAUUCUGAAGCUGCAAAGCCAAAUCUCUAAGAAGUACUUCUGGCUUAAAAGGACGCAAUGCAGUGGCCCAAGCACGCUUCCAGCCACCAAGUUCUUGGCUCCGGUAGAUGCUUCGAACAAGAGAGAGGAAUUCAUCAGCAAGUGCCAGUGCCAGUGUCCUACUGCGAUCAUACUUCUUUCUAGCAGGAAAUUGGCUCGGCGGAACAUGAUGCUCGCUUAACCUAAACAAAAAAGAACAGAUCUAUGAAAAUUUAUGUACUUUUGCUCAGAGUUAAAUGUUGAGGAUUUUCAGGUGCACACUUUUUGUGAGAGUAGUAUGCCCAACAGAUUAUCUAAGUCCAUGUACAAUGUGUUCAUCCUUACUCAACUUUAAAGCACAAUAUGUUUUUCAAUUAGUGUGCAUUAUACGAAGACGCAUGUCUCAGCUGUAUUUCCCUCUAACUUUAAAGUUUGUUAAAUAAGUUUGAGCACCAGGAUUAGCUCAUUCAUACACAUAUGUUUGCCAAUUUUAGUGAGAGCUCUAUGCCCAACAAAUUAUCUAACUUCAUAUAUAUCCUUGGUUCAACUUUUAAAAAUAAUGGUUUUUUUUAAUUCGCGAUACUAGGAGGUAUGUCUCAGUUUUCUUUCCCUCAAAUUCUGAUGUUUGAGCACCAAGAUUGGCUCGUUCGUACACAGUUGUUUAGGCUACUAAAGCUAGAUUGCUAUGUUGUGCGCGUGUGUGUGGCUGAAAAGAAAACACUAGUGAACAUUUAUACAUCCCAAAUAUAAUCUAUGGAUAUGGAAUUCAAGAUUUGAAUUUCGAUUUUUCAAUCAGUGCUGG